CGUACCAGGGAAAGCUUCCAUGUCAUUGUGUCGAGAGGCCAGGAGACAUAGAGCUGAAGCACCCUGUACUGCUGCAUCAGUAGAGUCGGUCAGACAAAAAAGGCAUACGCUUGGACUACUCCCUUGGGAAACUCUCAUUUGUUGAUACACCAGGCGUUAUUGAGGAUGGAGCCGUUUUAGAUGGCAAGGUCAAAGCAACCCAUUAUAAUAACACGGGCAUCGCUCAU